GGGGGUUCUCGGAGGUGGGCGUGUCUUCUGGGAAGGCUGCGGAGUCCCCCUGGGAUGAAGCCCAGAGAUUAGCUCAGGAGAGAAACAUCUGAUCCCCCACGUGGAGGCCCCCCUCCCCCAGUCCAGGGUCGCAGUGGGAGGCGGCAGAUUGGCCCUGCUCUUCCGAACGUAAACAUGCACUGCUGGCCUGGCCCCUCAGUCCGGCUGCCAGGCCUCUGCCCAGCCCUCUCCUGCGGCCGCUCCAGCGUGGCCGCCCUUUGGCCUUUCACCUUCGACAUUCUGCGCACCCGCUCUGGCCUCUUCCGGCAUCCGGCUGUGGGAGCCCCAGGGAUUCGGUCACCCCAGGCCUCAUCCCUGUGUGUCCUCAUGGGCGCAGUCUAGAAAGGCACAGGGGAGCGGAGGCAGAGGCAGGGCUGGCUGCCCCCCGGGCUGUUUUAUUACUACUGUUGUCAUUGUUACCGCCAGUGUGACCGGGAAGCUGAGGAAAGUUGAGAACGCAGAGGAAAUGCGUCGCCUCUGGGACACCUUGACCUCAGGUCCUGGACUAGACUCCGAAGCUUUGGGAUAUAGUUCACAUACCAUGCAAUCCACCCAUUUAAAGUGUACAAUUCAUGGAGUUGGGCAACCAUCACCACUCUCUGAUUUUUGAACAUUUUCAUCACCCUUAUAAGAAUGCCUGUACUGGUUAGUAAUCACUCCGUUUCCAUCCAUCCUCUAGCCCUACACUUUCCAUCUCUUUAGAGCUGCCUAUUCUAGAUAUUUCCUAUAAAUGGAAUCAUACAAUAUAUGAGCUUUUGUGACUGGCUUCUUUGACUUAGUAUAAUGUUUUUGAUGUCAUCCACGUGUGGUAUUUAUUAGUAUUAUAUUUAUUUUUGUGGCUGAUAUUCCAUUGGAUAUAUAGCACAUUUUAUCUAUUCAUCCACUGAUGGGCAUUGGGUUAUUUCUACCUUUGGCUCUUGUUAGUAAUGCUGCUAUGAACAUUUUUGUACAAGUAUGAGCUUUACUACCCAAGUUCAAUUCUUUUUGGUAUAUACCUAGGAGUGGAAUUUCCAGGACAUAUGGAAACUCUAUGCUUAACAUUUUGAGGAACUGCCAAACUCCCUCUCAGGUGGCUGCACCAUUUUACAUUCCCAACGGCAGUGUAAGAGGGUUAUGAUUUCUCUGCAUUCUUGCCGACACUUGUAAUUAUCCACCUUUUUGAUUCUAGCCACCCCAGUGGGUGUGAAGUGAUUUAUCACUGUGGUUUUAAUUUGCAUUUCCUUAAUGAUUAGGGAUGUUGAACAUCUUUUCAUGUUGGCUGUUUGUAUAUGUUCUGUGGAGAAAUGUCUAUUCAGAUCUUUUGCCCAAUUUAAAAAAAUUGAAGUAUGGUUGAUUUACAAUGCUGUGUUAGUUUCAGGUGUACAGCAUCCUUUGCCACUUUUUAAGUGGCAGAUGUGGUUAGAAAGAAGAUGCUGCUUCUGCCUUUAGCCACUCAGACCUCAUCUAACUCCCAGUCCUGUAUCUUCCCCGUGGCCCCAACUCCCUCCCUCCCUCCCACCUUUCCUCCAGCACCCAGGGGACCAACAGCCCAUCUCAAUCUACAACAGCUUCCUAAUACUCUCUUCACACUUGAAGGACUGAGAAAGACCCUCAAGGACCCUUCUCCGACUAAGGGAAGCCUUGCUGGGCCCACUUGAACAGAAAAAUGACUGGCAGCUGCUGUGGGAAGACACAUUUUCUCAACAUUAUACCAACUUUAAAACAUACAGAAAAAUGGAGAGAAUGGUACACUGGCGGCCUGCCCAGCCUUAGAUUUGACAAUUAACGUGUUGUUCUAUUUACUUUAUCACAUAUCACUCCCUCCCUCCCACCCUCUACCCCUUCAUCAACCUGUGUUAUUUUUUGGAUGCAGCAAUCAGUACCUGUGCCCUCAAAACACUUCAGCAUGGACAUCACUACCUAGAGCUCAAUAUUUUGUUUCUUUGUUGCUGGGGAGGAGAGUGACCUUGCCGUGUAAGAAACAGACAAGUCUUCUGUGUACAUUCCUUGAAUUUUAAGAAAUGCAGACAUCUGUGUAAUCAAACCUAAAGCAUCACUCUCAACCCCAGAAACUGGAAGGCAGACAAUUUCAAGUUAUCUGUCUUGCUAGAUACCUAUUUGGAUAUUCAAGUACCUUUAGUCACUGACCCCUCAGAUAGGAUCCUACAAACUUCCUGUUUUCCUCCUACGAAUAGAGGCCUGCUUCCCUCCCAAUGCUCAAUCCCACAUCUCAUUCCAAUCUCCUGUUGAUGAAGAUUAUCUCAUGCUUUGUAGAAACUUAUCCGUGAUGGAGGGGCAGGGGGUGAGGAAGAGGCAGGGCAAGAAAGGGAUUGUCAGGACGAUGCAGAAUCUCUAAGGCUGAGGAGGAAGAGUCAGUGGAGGGGAAGGAAGGAAGGCUGAGGUGCAAGGCCCUGGAUGGCAAAAUGUGCUUCAGCCUCAGGACCUUUGCAUGUGCAGCCCCCCCCCUGCUAUGUUCUCCCUUGGCUUUCUGAACGGUGAGGUCCAUCAUCCUUCAGAGCUGAGUUCAAAUGCUACCUUUUCAGAGAAGAUGACACCUCAGCUACAACUACCAGCCUUUUACUAUUGCCUGUUCAUUUAUUUGGUGGUGCUUACCUCAGUCUGUCAUUAUUAUUUUCGUCUCUUCCUUGUCCAUCGCACUCCCCUCUCUCCCCUAGAGUAUUAGAUUUAGGAGGGCAGAGACUAUGAUUGCUUCAUCCUGUUAACUCCAGCAUCGGGUCUAAAACACAGUAAGAAAUCAGCACAUGUUUAUUCAGGGCAUGUAUGGUUCCAGGGACUGGGACAUGGGGACCAGUGGGAGUCCUCUGGGAGUUCCAUAUAAGGUCUCUAAAAAGUCAGAGGUAGGUUUGGAGAGGAGGGGGGUCCCUGAUCUGAGCCCAGCAGACCGGGGCUCCUCUGGCUGAAAUCGGGUUCUCUGCCAUUGAAUCGGCUCCGAGGCACGCCGCCACUGCGGCCCAGAGGGAUGGGGUUCAGGAAGGGGGUGUCGAGGUCUUGACAUGCUUCAAAGUCCCCUCUGACCCUGAGGAUCCAGCGAGGCUCAGGGGUGCAUACCGUGCGCGGGGAGGCGGCGGCAAUGCGGGAUCCGCACCUGCCCCUGGUCCUCGGCAGCAUCGCGCGCAGAGGCCAGGGAGCACUUCACCCGGCGGGCAAGACCCGUGCGCCCUUCCGGCUGCGCCAGGCCCUGCGCUCGCGGGGCGGCAAGGAGCUCUCAGGCCGCACCACGUGCGCUCCCAACCCCUUCCCGGUCCAGCACCAGCGCAGCGGCACCCGCGGAGUUCUACCUGCGCCACAGGGACGGAUGCCUGCACUCUGCGCAGGAAGUGGGGCGCGAUCCGUGUGCCACGGGUGGAAGUUGUGGGGCAGAACGCGGGGUGGGCAGGAGUGGGGCCUGGGAGGGUCCGAGAGCGGCUGAAGAACAGGAGAUGCCCUGGAGGCUGAAGGACGCCAAGCAGUGGUGCUCGACCACGUGCAUCGCACUAGAAAGCGGGAGACGACUGGGCGGGGCCGGAGGGCGGGGCCUGGGAGGAGGUCUAGGAGGCGCGGUCCUCAAGGUCCGGGGCUCUUCCUUUAAAGCUUCAGUGAUGGUGCUAACCCUGUGCACCCGUCCUGGAAGGUGAUGGUGCACCUGGGAGGGCGCGGGUCUCGGGUUGAGGGUGGAGCCUGAAGGGAUCCGGGCUCCAAGGCAGGAUGGGAGGCAACGUGGGAGCAGGGGGUAAAAGGAGGCUGUGCCACGGUGCGUGGCUACCUGCAUCAGUCCUGGAGGCUGGAGAAUCAGGGGGAACGGGCUGGGAUGAGGCCCCGAGUUCAUGGGGGAAUGGACAUAAAGACAGUGGUGCAUCACGCACCCUAAGAGCGCCGCAGUGGGGGUGCUAUGGGGACACAGCCGAUUGAGAAGGCCCAGGAGCUGGGAAGGCGAUUUGUAUGGCUGCGUCCUUGGCCACCUGAGUAACUCUCCCAGGGCUUCCCUCCUCAGCGCGAGGCGUUGGACCUGGCCACUACCAGCUCGGAUCCCAGGCGGGUGGCCACUGCCGGUCCUGGUGCGGACGCCCUGGUACCACAGCAGUCUGGGGCAAUAGGAGGCUGAGCGCACAUUCUCCAGGGUGUAGACCAAGGGCUAGUCUGGGGUCUUGAGGAGACACUUGAGUACCCACUGUGUGCUAUGCACAAUUCCAGCCACUUCAGGGCAUAGCAGGGGACAAAACAGACCCAAAUCCCUGCUCUGGUGGGGCAGGCCAACAAUAUAGAUGAAGAAAUAAAAGUAUACAGUAUGCGCAAUGGUGGCAAGUGCUGGGGAUGUGUGCGCGGGGAAGGGGUUGCUGUUUUAGAUUGGGAGGCCUCCUGAUGAAGGUGACAUUUGGAUGAAGAAUGGAAGGAGGUGACCAGUGCUUCAGCCGGGAGAGCCUCUCUGGAAGAGCAUGUGCAAAGGCCCUGAGGCAGUAAUUUACUUGGUCCCGCACAAGAUGCAAUGCCUUCCCUGAGAUUCUGCCACCCCAAAGAUGGCUCUCACAUUGUUGGAGCUUCUGUGACGAGCUCCCUGAAGACAUGGUUUGACAAAAAUUCCACAACCCAGAGGAAAAGUUUGCACUCUUCUUGCACCACAUAGCAAAAUGUGUGACUGGCUUAGAGUGUGAACUGGCCUGUCAUGCAAAGAGGAAUCUCCCUUAGAUCACCCAAAGCCAGUGGCUGUGAUCAGCUGUAGGUACUUCUGAUGUCAAGCUGGCAUGAAGACUGGAGGGAAUGUUGGCAGGGGCAGCUAGGAGCUGGCAUAGACCGAGAGGAAGAGGUAACAUCCCAUUAUGGGGAAACAUCAAGAGACCAGAAACAGUUCCAAUGAGCCAGACUCCUGGAAAAUUAGACAAGGGCUGCUUCAGACAGCAUCAGGCAGUAGGCUCUUUUGGCGAUUCUUGUAAUAAUCACUAACUGCUCUCUCUGGAUGUGGAUACUUAGGGUUCAGAGUUCAAAGCUGUAGCAAUAGAACCUCGAGUCGGUCAGGGUGAGAGCAACCUACCCUGGGCAGGUGUUGACGUGUGGGACAAACCAGAACUGGUCCAGUUCCAAGACAAGGGUGCAGGGUGUGUUAGAAAGAGGCGUUCCCCCCGAGCCUGGAAUUACGACCACAGGCAUGCUUACCUUUGAUCACAGUUCAGUGCUACCGUGAUAUGCACUGAAUUGUACCUGAGACUGCUCUCUGUACGUCUGGCUUGGUUUCUGCGUAACUGCAGCAUUUAAGGUCAGCUUGAAUAGAAACUUGACUCCUGGAAGAGGCCUUCAGGAGGAUAUUAUACAAUGUUUAUUUUUUUUAAAUUCAGGAAGUAUUUAUUGAGCACCUACCAUGUACUUAUUUUUUUCUAGUAAUUUAUGACCCUAUGCUGGACACUAUGUUGCUGCUUUUUGAAAGGAUGGAUUAUUAUAAUUUUUAAAAUUGCCACAUAGUCUGUUUACAAUGUGUCAAUUUCUGGUAUAAUAACAAUAAUUUUUCAGACAUACAUGUACAUACAUAUAUUGGUUUUCAUAUUCUUUUUC